rnacentral:tRNA from 1 species
GUUUUUAUAGUUGAUGUUACAACGGUGGUUUUUCGGACCGCAGGACUCGAUAGGCCGAGUGAAAACU